CCCGGGCUGGGAGUCCGCCGGGCGGCUCGUGCCGCUGCUUGCGGUGGGCGCGGCGUUCUCCCUGCUGGCCUGGGUC
rnacentral:tRNA from 1 species